rnacentral:misc_RNA from 1 species
AAAUCUACUCUGGUUGUAGUUGUCAGUAGCUCGUUGCAGCUCCUCUUCAGUAAAUAGAUUUGACUUUUUACCUCUUCCAAAAUAUGAGAGCCUUUGUUGCAACAAGAAGCCACCAUUUCGCUCGAAGAAUCUGUCUUUACGAAUUCUGUGUCUUCUAUUCUUUAGGAAUUUAUAUAACUUGUAACUGAAAAGGAAUAAAAAUAGCAGUCCG